rnacentral:rRNA from 1 species
UCCGAAGGUCCCAAUCGUUGCUCGGAAUUAUUGGGCGUAAAGCGAGCGCAGGUGGCUUUGUAAGUCAGGAGUGAAAUCCCAGGGCUUAACCCUGGAAGUGCUUUUGAUACUGCGAAGCUUGAGUGUGGGAGAGGAUGCUAGAAUUCCUGGUGUAGUGGUGAAAUACGUAGAUAUCAGGAGGAACACCGGUGGCGAAGGCGGGCAUCUGGCCCAACACUGACACUUAGGCUCGAAAGCGUGGGGAUAAAACAGG